rnacentral:rRNA from 1 species
UACGUAGGGUGCGAGCGUUAAUCGGAAUUACUGGGCGUAAAGCGUGCGCAGGCGGUUAUGUAAGACAGGUGUGAAAUCCCAGGGCUUAACCUUGGAACUGCAUUUGUGACUGCAUAGCUAGAGUACGGUAGAGGGGGAUGGAAUUCCGCGUGUAGCAGUGAAAUGCGUAGAUAUGCGGAGGAACACCGAUGGCGAAGGCAAUCCCCUGGACCUGUACUGACGCUCAUGUACGAAAGCGUGGGGAGCAAACAGG